rnacentral:rRNA from 1 species
UGACGGUACCCUUUCGAAUAAGAGGUUGCUAACUCUGUGCCAGCAGCAGCGGUAAUACAGAGACCUCGGGCGUUAUCCGGAUUUACUGGGCGUAAAGCGUCUGUAGGGGGUUUGUUAAGUUCCAAGUAAAAUCUUAAGGCUCAACUUUAAGUUCGCUUGGAAAACUAAUAAACUGGAGUCCAGCAGAGGUGCAUGGAACUUGCGGUGUAGGAGUGAAAUCCGUUGAUAUCGCAAGGAACACCAAAGGCGAAGGCAUUGCACUGGGCUGGUACUGACCCUGAGAGACGAAAGCGUGGGGAGCAAAACGGAUUAGAUACCCGUGUAGUCCACGCCGUAAACGAUGGAUACUAGAUGUUCGGGGAUUCGACCCCCUGGGUGUCACAGCUAACGCGUUAAGUAUCCCGCCUGGGAAGUACGGCCGCAAGGCUAAAACUCAAAGGAAUAGACGGGGAUCCGCACAAGCGGUGGAGCGUCUGGUUUAAUUUGAUAGUAAGCAAUGGACCUCACCAAGGUUUGACAUCCUAUGACAACCCUGGAAACAGGGCUUCCUUCGGGCAUAGUGACAGGUGCUGCAUGGUCGUCGUCAGUUCGUGCCGUGAGGUGUUCCGUUAAGUCGGGAAACGAACGAAACCCUCGUCGCAUGUUACAAAUUUCAUGCGAGACUGCCCGGGUCAACCGGGAGGAAGGCGGGGAUGACGUCAGAUCAGCAUGGCCCUUAUACCUUGGGCUACACAGGCGCUACAAUGGCCGGUACAAAGGGUUGCAAAACCGCGAGGUGAAGCUAAUCCCAUAAAGCCGGUCCAAGUUCGGAUUGGAGGCUGCAACUCGCCUCCAUGAAGUUGGAAUCGCUAGUAAUCGUGGAUCAGCCAUACCACGGUGAAUACGUUCCCGGAUCUUGUACUCACCGCCCGUCACACCAAGAGAGUUGGUAGCUCCUGAAGCGUCGCAUUAG